rnacentral:lncRNA from 1 species
GUGCAUUGUAGGCAGCGACAGAUAGGGAAGCUCUCUUACAAACUGCUUUCAAUUUCUGGUGAUUUAAUGCCCUUAUGAUUGCUUUCAAGAAAUAGGAAUUUGAUUGUUGGCAUCUGCUUCAAUUUUAGAAAAGCUUUUAGAAAACUUGUUGGUACAUAGCACCCCUUUUUUUGUCAAUUGAUUCUUAUUUUCCCUUCUCUUUCUUUACCUUCACUUAUUUUUCCCUCUCUUCUCCCUCUUCUUCUUUUUAUCUCCCUCCACCUUCUCACUUUGAGCAGUUGGAUAGUAUAACCCACCCUCAACACUUUGCUUUCUUGAAAUUUAAUGAUUAGAAUUUGAAAAUGACUUUGGGCCAAAGAAUACAUCAAAAUGUCAAUCCUUGUGGUGAUCACUGCAAGCAGAAUAACUUCAAUGACCGGAAUCCAAAUAAAGGGUCCUAGAAUCCUCCUGAAAGCGCUGUAAAUUUAAUUCAUCAGAAGCAAUAAAAGUGAUCUAAAAUUAAAAUAAUUGGUAUACUUGUCUAAAAUGGAAAGUUUGUGUACAGAAUUUGCAUGGGAUCCUAUAAUUAGUAUGAAUUCAUCCCAGCAUCUAAUAUUCUUCACCUCAGUAUACUUGACUAUGUUCACUGAUAUCCAUCAUGAUGGCCCUAAAAUCAGCCUUCAUCAAACAAAGAUUCAAUUAUACCCACUGAGCUCUAGUAGCUAAGUAAAUGGGCAAAAUGCAAUUUGGCAACAAUAUUUUCACUUCUGAAAAAAAAAACAUUAAGAAACUACAGUAAAACAUUUCACGAAGCAAAAUUUAUUUUUAAAACAGUUCUUUAUUCUGAGAUCAUGUCCUUUUUUUCUCUGUCAACUGCCUUUUCUUUUGUAAAAAAUGGUAGUGCCAGUAUGACAGGUUCUUUUUGCAAAAUUAAAAGUUGACACAUCAUUGCUACUUCCAAGAGUUAUUCUGAAUUUCACUUGUUGAUGAAAUAUCAAAACCUCAGAAUUCCCGUUGGAAUGCUUUCCUAUAGGCUGGGAAACAAACUGGACUUUCUGUCAGGCUGGGUCCAGUUGGUUCUUCAUGGUCUUGCUCCCUGUUGCUGAUCACACAAACUGGCCAAGUAGGUAAGCAAUAAGAUAUGGGAAUGAAAGGCUUAAAUAGGGUUAAACCCUUAAAAGGGUUCAUGUUUGUUUCCUCCAUUCAUCACCAAAAUGUUAAACACUUUAAUAUACUUUUAAAAUUGUGAUUUAAAAAAUAUGUGUAUUUUAUUUGUUUGUUUGUUUGUUUAUUUAUUUAUUUAUGGGGGUACCAGGAAUUAAACUCAGGGGCACUCAACCACUGAACCACAUCUGUAGCCCUAUUUGUUUUAUUUAGAGACUCACUGAGUUGCUUAGCACCUCAGUUUUGCUGAGGAUGGCUUUGAACUCAUGAUCCUCCAGCCUCAGCCUCCUGAGCUGCUGGGAUAUGUGUAUUUUAAAUGAAUCACUUACUUGUACAAAAGUCAAAGCAUGCCACUGCCAAAGGGCACCAGGGGACAGUAGGUUUUGCAUGUCAGCCUUAAAGUUUUGCACAAGCAUCCCAUGUAGACCUGGAUUUAGGGUUUUAGGCCCUGAAAGUAGAGCAUCAAACCCUUCUCUACUGGGACGAAAAGGAGAGACAUAAAUUCCACAUAACUCCCUGUAGGGAUCCAGCUUGACAUGACUCUAGCCAUGUUGGUCCUAAGCACCAUUUUGCCAGCCAGGUGACCCUGGCAUGCAUCCUAAACCCUAACAGGACAAACAAGUCAUUCAGGUAGUCUACCAAGCUAUUGUGCUGACUAUUGACACUUGUAUUUUUUCUUACCUGAGUUGGAUGUGUUAAUAGUUUUUGAGAAAGCCCAGGUACUUCCUGAUGGGCAAAGGCCUACCUUUGUCAAGCUUUGCAUCUAAACCACUCUUUCCUGUCUCUAGGUGCUGGGAUUCUCUUGUGUU